GGAAGAGGAGCAUGAGGCUGAGGAAGAUUAAAAUACAACAUGCAUAUUUAUGAAUGCUAAUAUAACUAAUUUUAGACUUAUAAAUUAUAAUUGUGCAGACAUGGGAAAGAGCAAAGGGAAAGCAACAGGUCCACUGAUUGCUCUUUACUUUGAUUGAAUUUAUUGACAUUCAUAUUGGAAAAUAACUAUAACUUUUUAUUGUUGUGCAGCUAUGGCCAAGAGAAAAGGAAAACCAACAGGUAAUGGAAAAGCAGCUUUAGUACUAGCUGCUACUCAAGUUCCUCCUCAACCUCGUAGAUUGCCUGAGCGUGUCGAGGAAUGUCAUGAUGAUGAUGACUACAUCCCUGAUGAGGACAUGGAUGAAGAGGUGGAUGCAGAUGAAGAAAUAAAUGAUCAGAUGAAUGGUGCAGUGCAAAAUCAUGAGGAUGCAAUGAAUGAGGAUCAGAUGAAUGAUGAACUUGGGGCUGAUCCAAGAUAGAGCAAUGGCCGAGAGCCAAUCCUUAAAGCCCCUGUUGAUACAAAUGGAAAAGUGAUUGUUAGGUGCACAAGAGGAAUGUUUCUUGAUUAUGAGGUCAGCCACAAAGCUGUUGCUAUCAUGCGCCAAUUUUUCAAUGGUCCUUGGUUGUCAUGGAGGGAGGUCCCUGCACAUGCUAAAGUUGGAAUGUGAAACAAGUUUGAGGUGAUGUAAUUAAUUUAUAUUUUUUAUCAUUAACUUUUGCCCUUGUUACACUUUUCAAUUAGUAAGUCUGAUUACUUGCGACCUAUAUAUUAUUAGGAGAUACACACAAUUCUUCCAGGAUAAUUGCAUCAUGUGCAUCAAGUUUGGAACAAGCAUUGUCAGCGACGGUUGACAACCUCAUUAGGGAGGGUCAGAAGCCAAAAGCUUGUGGAAUCAAAAGGAGAUUUAAAUAGAGCCCGUGAUAAACCCCCUAAUUGGAUCUCUAGAGAAAAUUGGAAUAAGCUAAUUGACAUUUGGAUUUUCCCAGAAUGGAAGAAGAAAUCAGAAGCCAACAAAAAAAAUAGAAACACCAUGAAGAAUGGUAGCAUCUCUAAACACUGUGGAGGAUCAAUCGCAUUUGUCAAUCAUGACGAACGACUGAAAAUAAAGCUCGGUAGGGAGCCAACAAUAGUUGAAUCUUUUAAUCGGACGCAUAAAAUAAAGCAAGGCAUGGGAGGAUAUGUGGAUAAAAGAAGUGAAGCUAUUAUGGUAAGUAUAAUUUUUUUAUGAUUCAUAAAUAUUAUUGAGCUUACUCAUGUUUAUCUCUUAUUUGAUCCACCAUAAUGUUUUUCUCUUCUUUCAAAUCAACUGGCAGACAAAGUAUUCAGCUGAAUACUCCAAAAAAUAUGGUGAUGCCUCCACCUCAGAUGCUCCACCACGUGAUUAUGACUUGUGGUUUGAGGCAACUGGUGUCCCAACUCAUGGCCAUGUCUAUGGCUUUAGUCCCCUGGAGGAUCUUACUGGAAUUAUUGGGCAAUCAUUAUCCUCUUCCACCUCUACAAGUCAAGCUCCAGAGUUGUAUACACGUGAAGACCUUCUAGGUAUUCUUGAGCAUGAAAAGAAAAAAAUGGCAAGACGAAGUUCUUCAAAAGAUGAGAGAAGAGAUUGGCUUUGGACCCAGGCAUGCAGAUCAGGGGAGUAAUGGUGAUUCUGGUUCUGCUGAUCAUGCUUCAUUGUGGUUGCUUUUGCCUUAGAUGAAAGAUCUUUGCAUUCGUAGGAGGAAUGAAAUCUCUGUUGAUCUCUAUGACAUACUUUUGAAUUUUGAUUUUGAUGGAUUUAGGACAUGUUGAUGCCUAUUUUGAAUGACAUGUUAAAUGACUUUUGCGUAA